GGAUGUGAGGGUGAUCUGGAUAACCAGAGUUGAUUGGCUGAUCUGGCUGGCUGGCUAGGCCCUUUCCUCCUUCCAUUGCUCCAUGUAUGUCUCUCCCAAAGCUGUGCUCAAUCAUAGAGGACAACUGUCCCUAAUAGAGAUGGACUUGCUAGAACCUCCAAACAUGCUCUCAAAGCCCAAAUAUGAAAUUAUUAACUGUCAUCAGUAUGCUGUACUUUAUAUCUCCAUGAUUAAUUUUUGG
rnacentral:snRNA from 1 species